GGAGAGUCGUAGCCAUGCCAUCGAAACGGUGUUAUUUUCACCCAGCUGUCAGGUCUUCUGUGUUCGGGCUUCCUACGGACGCUGUAGUUCGUCAACAAUGGUUAACAUUUAUGUUUGAUUAUGUUCCUGACAAUUACAAUCCUAAUUCAGCUUUCUGUGCUGCGCAUUUUACGGAAGACAGCUUCCAGAAUCUACACGAGUUCAAUGCCGGAUUCACACAGAAACUAUUACUAAAACAUGGAGCAGUUCCAACUUUAAAACCAGAGGCAACAGUUGUUGGGCCACAACCUUACAUACAGCUGUCGCCUGUGAAGGUGAUGGGCGUGAAGUUUCCAGACAAUGUGCAGUACGCAGUUUAGCCAAUCACAACACACCGGCCCAACUGACCAAUCUGAGCCCAUCGCCUGUUUCUGAGGGAGUGGUUUCAUAGAAUCAGGAAGUCAACCGGUCGUUCAAAUGACAGAGGAGAAAGAAGCUUACAAUAAAGAUGGAACAAAACAACUGCCGCAGAGCCAGCCAAACAUAUUUGGUCUUGAGUGCGAUGCUCAUGGAUUUGCAGAACAGUGCUGUAGGCCGGUAGGUUGUGUUUGUGUGUGUUAAAGGUAUCAUAAUGAAGGAAAGCCUAACACAAUUCUGUUCAUAUUUAUAAUUUUGAAAUAUUAAAUGUGCAAAUUCAUCUGGUUUUUUUAGUCAUUAAUUCAUGGCACUGUUGAAUACUUGGUGUUGCUUGAUAUCAGAUUAAGGUGACCAGAUGACCAUAAUGAAAGGAGGCGUGUCUGAGAGGGUGGUAAAAUUCAAAAGUGCUCUGGUGUAUUUUAAGAGAACGUUUUUGUUCAGUUUAUUUAAAAAGUGUGAAUGUGGUAAAUGUUUUAGAAGAAAAGUUAGCUUAGGACUAUUGAGUCAUUGACAGUUAAUUUAUGACCCAAGUGUAAUGGCUACAGUAUAUUUUGUGGUGUACUGUACAUUCAUUUUCAAUAACUGAACUGUCAGUUGUGAUAUGCAAGGAUAGGAUCGGAUAUAGAAAUUAGUUAUAUGUCCUUAAAGGGAUCCAAAUCAUUCACUCGUUCUCAAGUCACUUCAAACCUGUAUGAGAUUCUUUCUUCUAUUGAGCACAAAAGACGAUAUUUUGAAGAAUGCUGGUAACCCAACUUUUGAUGGUAGCCAUUGACUUCCAUAGCAUGGUUAAAAAAAAAAAAAAAAAUACUAUGGAAGUUAAUAGCUACCAUCAAUUGUUUGGAAUAGGGAUGCACCGAAAUGAAAAUGCUUGGCCCGAAGCCGAACAAAAUGAAACACUGGGCCGAAUACCGAACACGGUUUUUCGCAUUUUUCACACUUCUUUUAAAACAUUAGAAUAUAUUACAGAUCCCAAUUUGAACACUAUUGGUGAAGACCUCAGUGCUUCUUUUUGUUGACAACAGCAUAUUUAUAAAUGAUUCUCAUUACGAAUUUGGGAAGAUGUUUGUCGCACGUAUCGGAUUGUCACAUGCCUUUAAAAAAAAAUGAAUAAAAAUGCAAAUGACGAGUAACAGUGUUUUAGCGCAGAUUUUCCUUGCGCUUUGUACUUUGAACCCUGGUGCUGUGGGCUCGUGCAGCGCUGUUUGAAUACAUGCAAUCCGUGCGUGUAUUAGAAAACAACAUUCUGCAGUUUAUUUACUAAUCGUUUGAGGCCAUUUCGCGAUUUCAAUCAUUACAGUAACCAGCAUCAACCACCUGCAGCGCUAAGCAGUCUCUCGCUGUCGGUGCUUGUAAUUAUUUUUGCAUCUUUCUCUGACAGUUUUAAAUACUUUCAUACUGCAGACGUGUUUGCUGCAUUAGUGCGCACCUCUAUUUGAUCGUGUCAUGUCAUUGUUCGGUACAAUUUAUUCGGUCUUUUCGCUUAUUUGCUAUUUUCGGCCGAACAAUUUCAGUUGCCGAACAUUCGGUGCAUCCCUAGUUUGGAACAGUUGAGUUGAGUUUUGAUAUUUGGAUGAACUAUCCCUUUAAUAUGUGCUUUCUGAAUGAGGGUUAGCCUACUGUUUCUUAUCAGUUUAUCCGCUCUGAUUCAGUUUUUAUAUUUUGGAGGUGUCUAAGAUUUUUACUCAUUCUGCCAGGGGUUCAUGUGUCACUUUCAGCUGCUGAAAGUGUGUGUGUUCAGCUGCGAUUCACUGGAUGAUGACAAGAGUUUCUUGACAAGAGAGUCUUUCUUAACGCGAUGAGGUUGUUGAGAAGGUCAAGGGUUUUUAGUGAAGUGUGUACUCUAUACACACGUCUCACUCUGAGUAGUGACAUCCAGCCAUCAUCUGCCUACUUUAUCUGGUGGCUCAGCACGCUGUGCUCUUGAGCAGUAUGUGUGUUGCAGUUAGCUAACAAAUUCAGCAGAUAAAGAGCUGAGUAAAAAUAAGGAGAGAGAAAUGAUGGCAUGAACAGAAAUGAUAAAAUGGACUGUGAAAAUGAAGACUGUAUUGGAAUUCAGUGCAGUUUUUACUCUCGAGCGAAUGUAUAGCUGGAGCACAAUAAAAUGAAAAUUUGCUGUAAAUUUACAUCCCUAGUAAAAAAGUAAUAUAUUUAAAAUACAUUUAUUUCAUGUAGUUCAAAUCUAUUAACAUGUUUACUGACAUAUCACUCAAGACUUGCUGAUAUAAAAAUUAUAAUUAAACUUUAUUUGGAAUACUUCUUGUGCACAGUGCACAAUUAAUUUCUUAAUAUUAAGCCUAAAAUGUGUUUUAAUGUCAUUAUUGAUGAGGAUUGUAUGAUCUUUUGAAUAAUAUCAGUCUUUAAAUGCAGGAUAUUUAAAGUGUGCCUGGAGUAAACUUGCAAUAGUUCCACUUUAGCACAGUCAAAUUAGGGCUGGGCGGUAUAUAUCGAAUACGAUAUUCAUGCGCAUCUCGUCAGUAAAGCCGGUGUUCUGUCGAUUUGUGCUACCCUGUCAGAUUUUGCUACCUCCCAUUAAAACAGUAGGUAGUACAAUUCGACAGCGAAAAAUGCUACCUGUCAAAUUAUGAUUUAUUAAUGUCUACACAUACCGCAACCCUAAACCUACCCUUACAGUAAUGCAAAUACAGUAAUUAUGUGUUAUAUUCGCAGUUGUGGCUAGAAGGGAUACAGCUACCGGAAACCAACAAUAAAUAAUUUUUUCUACCUAUUAGAUUGUGUUUUAUUAAUGUCUACACCUACCCCAACCCGAAACCUACCCAUACAGUAAUGCAGAUACAUUAAAUAUUGUUGUUCAGCAUGAGAAAAAAGAAGCAAUAUUGAUUUGCGCAUGCGCAGUAAGCCCUGGUGGGAAAAUCUGACGGGUAGGAUAAAA